rnacentral:rRNA from 1 species
AUUGAACGCUGGCGGCAGGCCUAACACAUGCAAGUCGAACGAGUGGCGGACGGGCGAGUAAUGUCUGGGAAACUGCCUGAUGGAGGGGGAUAUCUACUGUAAACGGUAGCUAAUACCGCAUCCCAUCGGUUGUGCCCAGAGUGGAUUAGCUAGCAGGUGGGGUAUAGGCUCACCAAGGCGACGAUCCCGAGCUGGUCUGAGAGGAUGACCAGAAACACUGGGACUGAGACACGGCCCAGACUCCUACGGGAGGCAGCAGUGGGGAAGAUUGGACAAUGGGCGAAAGCCUGAUGCAGCAAUGCCGCGUGUAUGAAGAAGGUCUUCGGGUUGUAAAGUACUUUCGGCGGAGAGGCGGUACCCGCAGAGAAAGCACCGGCUAACUCCGUGCCAGCAGCCGCGGUAAUUC